rnacentral:rRNA from 1 species
AUUGAACGCUGGCGGCAGGCUUAACACAUGCAAGUCGAGCGAGCGGCGGACGGGUGAGUAAUGUCUGAGAAACUGCCUGAUGGAGGGGGCUAACUACUGGAAACGGUAUCUCAUACCGCAUACCAUCAUAUUUGCCCAGAUGGGAUGAGCUAGUAGGUGGGGUAAUGGCUGACUUGGGCGACGAUCUCUAUCUGGUCUGCAAGGAUGACGGUCCACACUGGACCUGGGACACUGUCCAGACUCCUACGGGAGGCAGCAGUGGGGAAUAUUGCACAAUGGGCGAAGGCCUGCUGCAGCCAGGCCGCUUGUGUGAAGAGGGCUUUCGGGUUGUAAAGCACUUUCAGCGAGGAGGCGUUACUCGCAGAAGAAGCACCGGCUAACUCCGUGCCAGCAGCCGCGGUAAUUC